rnacentral:rRNA from 1 species
UACGUAGGGGGCAAGCGUUGUCCGGAAUCAUUGGGCGUAAAGCGCGUGUAGGCGGCCCGGUAAGUCCGCUGUGAAAGUCCAGGGCUCAACCCUGGAAUGCCGGUGGAUACUGUCGGGCUCGAGUCCGGAAGAGGCGAGUGGAAUUCCUGGUGUAGCGGUGAAAUGCGCAGAUAUCAGGAGGAACACCAAUGGCGAAGGCAGCUCUCUGGGACGGUACUGACGCUGAGACGCGAAAGCGUGGGGAGCGAACAGG